AAAACCUUUGGUUUUAAAUUUCUGCUACCUGUUUUACACCGUUCUCAUUGAGGCCAGUUAUCGGAAUGAGUACAAUUUAAACCUGUUAACGAGGACCUAUGAGGGCAAGCCUGGUGCCAGCAGCCGCGGUAACUCCAGCUCUCAAAGUGUAUAUCGUUAUUGCUGCGGUUAAAAAGCUCGUAGUUGGAAUCCAGCUUGACAUGGUCCAUUUAUUGGAUGUGAACUAUGAGCGUACAUUUUCUCUU
rnacentral:ncRNA from 1 species